CUCACAUUGAAGAUCGUGCGAAAAUCAUCGUUUCCAAGGGCGUCGAGAUAGCGUCGGAUGGAAAUCCUCUGUCCGUGAGGGUGUCAGUGGCGGCACGAACGCCGAGGUGGCCGGCAGAAACAAGCUAGCCCGGUCGAGUGAACACGUGCCACACGGAAAAUCUCGCGGGAUCCGCGUUUUCUUGUCGAAUUUUCUUCCAGCUUUUUCCGCGUUGUGGCUCGGCCGCGCGUUACAGCCGACUCCGAUGACUGUCGACUAAUAAUAGACGGGCACGGCCACGAGCGAGAGCUAGUUGAGCGAACGAGCGAGCGAAACGAACGCGAAUAUACAGGCUCCACGAUACCAGCUUACAUACGUAUUAAUGUGCGCUGCAUCGCGCCUAACAGUGGACUCAAAAUAUCCGACGGGAGUCAUCCUCGGCCUGUCGCCGAACACACAAGCUCUCAGGGUGGAACUGAAAAUUGUUCGACGGGCGCGUUACGUCUCCUUCCGUGCUCGUUUUUCGUUCGACUCGAUCCGAGAAAAGUUAGGUCUUUCUAAUAGCGACCUUUUGGGAGCCGGCGUAGCUCCGGACAGCCUAAACCUGAAACAUUUCCACUGUUUCUUCAUUGAACGACGACUUUAUACAGAAAGAAGGGCAUCGAUCCCCUAACUACACUACUACACGUUACAACUAGACUGCGGAUCUUAUGCAUUUACACUAUUUCUAGUUUUCCAAGAACGUUUGGAAAAGCUGAAGAAGGGUUUCCUUUUCCUAGGACCAUGACAGAUCCUCUAAUAGAAGAACGGUUUGAUCUUCGAAAAUAAAAAAUUCGUCAAAAGUACUAGCACUGCCUUUCGAAGGAGUUUUCCUGUUGGUUAGUCAAUUAAGAUUUGUUUAGAAUUAGGAUGGACAUCCUUGAUCGGGCAAAGGCGAAUGCAAAACAACAAGCUAAUUAAACCCUUAAUGACGAGGAUUAGCUCCGUCAUCAAUCAGCUUACAGCUUUAAGAACCUUCUACUUUUCUUAUUCAAUCCUUUUAACUAAUUAUUAUUGCUUUCUUACAAUAGAAUAAAAAUAUUGUUAGUUUUUA